GUUUUUUCAUUUUUUUUAAUUUAA
rnacentral:sRNA from 1 species